UGCUGAUGUCCUUCAUCCAGUCUGGAUUCACUGAAGAGAAACCCAAACCUGUAGUUCAUGUUCAUCCUGAUAAAAAUGUGUUCAGAGGAGAGAAAGUCACUCUCACAUGUGACAUACAGCAGACAGGAGACUGGUGGUACAGCUGGUAUAAAGACAGAAAAACAGUUCACAGUGCAGAAGACCAGAAAUAUAUAAUCUCAUCUGUGGAUCAGUCUCAUAGUGGUGUGUACAGCUGUGAUGGAUCUCAGUCAGACUCCAGUGAUGGAGUUAAACUGACAGUAUCAGAUUUACCCACAUCUACAUUGACUGUGAUACCAGACAGUCCUGUAUUCACUGGAGAGACAGUCAAUCUAAAGUGUGAGAUAAAGCCUGAUCACAGUAAUUGGAGAUAUGAGUGGUAUAAAGGCAACAGAGACAAUCCAGUGUUACAGACGUCUGAUCAUUACACUGUAAAUGGAGACACUCUCAGUAUUGUAAAAGCUAUUUCAA